rnacentral:rRNA from 1 species
UACGGGGGGGGCAAGCGUUGUUCGGAAUUACUGGGCGUAAAGGGCUCGUAGGCGCCAACUAAGUCAGACGUGAAAUCCCUCGGCUUAACCGGGGAACUGCGUCUGAUACUGGUUGGCUUGAGUUUGGGAGAGGGAUGCGGAAUUCCAGGUGUAGCGGUGAAAUGCGUAGAUAUCUGGAGGAACACCGGUGGCGAAGGCGGCAUCCUGGACCAACACUGACGCUGAGGAGCGAAAGCCAGGGGAGCAAACGGG